AGUGAACGCUGGCGGUAGGCCUAACACAUGCAAGUCGGACGGCAGCACAGUAAGAGCUUGCUCUUACGGGUGGCGAGUGGCGGACGGGUGAGGAAUACAUCGGAAUCUACUUUUUCGUGGGGGAUAACGUAGGGAAACUUACGCUAAUACCGCAUACGACCUACGGGUGAAAGUAGGGGAUCUUCGGACCUUGCGCGAUUGAAUGAGCCGAUGUCGGAUUAGCUAGUUGGCGGGGUAAAGGCCCACCAAGGCGACGAUCCGUAGCUGGUCUGAGAGGAUGAUCAGCCACACUGGAACUGAGACACGGUCCAGACUCCUACGGGAGGCAGCAGUGGGGAAUAUUGGACAAUGGGCGCAAGCCUGAUCCAGCCAUACCGCGUGGGUGAAGAAGGCCUUCGGGUUGUAAAGCCCUUUUGUUGGGAAAGAAAAGCAGCAGGUUAAUACCCCGCUGUUCUGACGGUACCCAAAGAAUAAGCACCGGCUAACUUCGUG
rnacentral:rRNA from 1 species